rnacentral:rRNA from 1 species
GACAGAGGGGGCCAGCGUUGUCCGGACUUACUGGGCGUAAAGCGUCCGCAGGUGGCACAGCAAGUGGCUGCUGAAAGUGCACGGCUUAACCGUGCGAGGCGUGGCCAAACUGCUGAGCUUGAGGCCGACAGAGGUCGCUGGAAUUGCCGGUGUAGUGGUGAAAUGCGUAGAGAUCGGCAGGAACACCAAGGGGGAAGCCAGGCGACUGGGUCGGUGCUGACACUCAGGGACGACAGCGUGGGGAGCCAAC